rnacentral:rRNA from 1 species
AUUGAACGCUGGCGGCAGGCCUAACACAUGCAAGUCGAACGAGUGGCGGACGGGUGAGUAAUGUCUGGGAAACUGCCCGAUGGAGGGGGAUAACUACUGGAAACGGUAGCUAAUACCGCAUACCAUCGGAUGUGCCCAGAUGGGAUUAGCUUGUAGGUGAGGUAAAGGCUCACCUAGGCGACGAUCCCUAGCUGGGCUGCGAGGAUGACCAGCCACAUUGGAACUGAGACACGAGCCAGACGACUACGGUAGGCAGCAGUGGGGAAUGUGGCACAAUGGGCGCAAGCCUGAUGCAGCCAUGCCGCGUGUAUGAAGAAUGCCUUCGGGUUUUAAAGUACUUUCAGCUGGGAGGCGUUACCCGCAGAAGAAGCACCGGCUAACUCCGUGCCAGCAGCCGCGGUAAUUC